rnacentral:rRNA from 1 species
AUGAAGCUGCGCUUAUUUCCCGAUUUCCUGAGUAUACAUGGUGAUGAGAUGCAAUCAAUUGUUGAGGAACUCGGCGAUGACCUUGUCCUGGGCGACGGCCUCUUCGCAGCAGGGCUCGAGGAGGUGGAAGGUGUGCCCCUUCCCCGGCGCCUGCCAAAUGUCGGCCUCCCCGCUCCACCCGCUCGCCCUGAGCCGGUCGUAGUAGGCGCGGCCGCGGUCGCGGAGCACGUCGCCCUCGCCGAUGCACACCAGCACACGCCGGCACGCCAGGGCGUCCAGCCCCGGCGCACCGUCCACGAACGGGUUGAUGAGCGGGUCGUCCUCCCCGGUGGUGGUCGGGCACAUGACGCGCCACAGGCUGGCCAGGCUCUCCCGCGCCGCCGGGUCCAGGUCGUCGGAGGCCACCUUAUCGGUGCCGAGGAAGUAGGGGUGGAUCAUGAGGAGGCCGUGGAUCGCGGCGGGGACGGGGUGCUCGGGCGCGAGGCGGUACUCGACGGAGACGACGAGGACGCCGGCGAGCGCGGCGAGGUUGUUGAAGUAGGCGUGGAAGGUGGGGUUGAAGGCGGAGCCGAGGCAGAAGCCGCCGCCGUGGUAGUAGACGAGGACGGGGAGCUUGGCGUUGUCGGGCUUGGCGGGGUCGAUGUGGGGGAGGUAGAGGCGCGCGGAGACCUCGGGGGAGAUGACGCGGUCGCGGGAGGCGACCCCGGUGGCGGCGUCGGCGUGGGCGGAGGCGGCGACGAACUCGGAGCCGAAGUAGCGCUCGACGCGGUUCUUGUAGAUGCGGAUGCAGGGCAUGGACUCGUAGACGAUCUCGUCGUCGGCCGCGGGCGCCGGGGCCGGGAUGGGGACGGCGGCGGCCAUCGCGCGCGCGGGCGAGAUCUGGGCGACGGGGCGACGGUACGGUGGUGGUUGGGACUCCGGGCCGAGGUUGAGGGGACGUGUAGACUUUGCUCUGCUCUGGUCAAGUAG